ACCUUUGACAUCCCGUUGCGAGCACCAGAGAUGGAGCUCUUCAUUCGCUGACCGGAGACAGUGCUGCAUGGCUGUCGUCAGCUCGUGUCGUGAGAUGUUGGGUUAAGUCCCGCAACGAGCGCAACCUUCGCCCUUAGUUGCCAUCAUUCAGUUGGGCACUCUAAGGGGACUGCCGGUGAUAAGCCGGAGGAAGGUGGGGAUGACGUCAAGUCCUCAUGGCCCUUACAGGCUGGGCUACACACGUGCUACAAUGGCGGUGACAGAGGGACGCAAAGGAGUAAUCCUUCGCAAAUCUCAAAAAGCCGUCUCAGUUCGGAUUGCGCUCUGCAACUCGAGCACAUGAAGUUGGAAUCGCUAGUAAUCGCAGAUCAGCACGCUGCGGUGAAUACGUUCCCGGGCCUUGUACACACCGCCCGUCACACCAUGGGAGUUGGCUUUACCUGAAGACGGUGCGCUAACCGCAAGGAGGCAGCCGGCCACGGUAGGGUCAGCGACUGGGGUGAAGUCGUAACAAGGUAGCCGUAGGGGAACCUGCGGCUGGAUCACCUCCUU
rnacentral:rRNA from 1 species